AUACUCAGCCAUCUCGCCACCAGGUGAAUGUUCUGCGGCAAGGAUUCCUGUGCCUCAGGCCCGGGUGGAUCCCGUUGAAGAGCCCUGUCUCAGGCCCGGGUGGACCCCGUUGAAGAGCCCUGUCUCAGGCCCGGGUGGACUCCGUUGAAGAGCCCUGCCUCAAGCCCGGGUGGACCCCGCUGUGCCCACCCUGUUGACCCUAACUGCACCCAGGACCGCCAGCUUAGGGUGGCACUGCCACAGUGGACUAGACCCUCCCACGUCAACCACCAACCAAGAAAAUGUCACAACGGCUUGUCCAAAGGCCAGCCUGGUGGGGGCACUUCACAAUUGAGGUUCUCUCUUCAAAAAUGACUUUAGCCUGUGUCAACUUGACAUAAAACCUAGCCAGUUCAAAGGC